rnacentral:rRNA from 1 species
CACCAAAGCUCCGACUUUAUGGAAGAGCGCAUCUAUUAGAUUAAAACCAAUCGGGCCUAGCCCGUCAAUUGGUGACUCUGAAUAGCUAUGGCUGAUCGCAUGGUCUCGUACCGGCGACGUGUCUAUCAAGUGUCUGCCUUAUCAACUUUCGAUGGUAGUUUAUGUGCCUACCAUGGUUGUAACGGGUAACGGAGAAUAAGGGUUCGACUCCGGAGAGGGAGCCUGAGAAACGGCUACCACAUCCAAGGAAGGCAGCAGGCGCGCAAAUUACCCACUCUCGGCAUGAGGAGGUAGUGACGAAAAAUAACGAGACCGUUCUCUUCGAGGCCGGUUAUCGGAAUGGGUACAAUUUAAACCAGUUAACGAGGAUCUAUGAGAGGGCAAGUCUGGUGCCAGCAGCCGCGGUAAUUCCAGCUCUCAAAGUGUAUAUCGUCAUUGCUGCGGUUAAAAAGCUCGUAGUUGGAUCUGCGCCUCAGGACCCGGUCCGUCCUUUGGACGAGAACUGGGAUCCUAGGCUAGUACUGUCGGUUUUCCCUGUGUUGCCUUGAUCGGUCGCGCAGGGUGGCCGGCGAGUUUACCUUGAAAAAAUUAGAGUGCUCAACGCGGGCUGACGCCUGAAUACUCGUGCAUGGAAUAAUGAAAUAGGAUCUCGGUUCUAUUUUGUUGGUUUUCUGAUCUGAGAUAAUGGUUAAGAGGGACGGACGGGGGCAUUCGUAUCGCUGCGUGAGAGGUGAAAUUCUUGGACCGUAGCGAGACGCCCGACUGCGAAAGCAUUUGCCAAGAAUGUCUUCAUUAAUCAAGAACGAAAGUCAGA